ACUGACAUCUGAACAUCCCACAUCACACAGGGGUUGUGCUUUGAAACAAUAAAAAAGAGAGAAGACAGUAACAACCACAAAAUGCCUCCAUAUACACGACAGGCACCUCAAUCAAAGCCCUGGUGAACAUUCUCACAGAGAUUGCUUAAAAUUCCAAAGCACACCCCUCUCCACUGGUAGAACUGCAGGCUAUCACCGAGGGCACACCAUUUCCCAGCACUUGACCUUGAGUUGAAGCACCUGGUAAUAUGGCCUUUCUUGUUUGCUUAUCAUUUUCCUUUUUACCUUCUCUAUCUUCCCAAGUUAAAAUAGUGAGAGAGCCGCGAGAAAUCACCAAGAGUUGCUUUAACAAUCUAAUAGUUUAGAUAAUACUGCAUCUUAAGGAACACAUCCCUCCGUCAUAGGAAAGGAGGAGAGGAGGGAAACAAAAUCAUGACAAGGAACCAGGAGAGCUGCCAGGAAGACCGAGAGGCGAGAAGAGUUUCCGUGUGAGGAACCUGGAAGGUUCAAUGCUAAAACUUACACUGAAAUUGCCAGAGACAUAGGUAUUUUGGCCUAUUUCCUGUCACAGCUAUUAUUCUCUUUGUUCAGUACCAAGCACUAAAACUCAUUUUGGAAUCAUGGCGGCCAGGAAAGGAAGACGAGGUGACUCUAGGGGAGAGAACAGAACUCCCCAAGUGGUGAGGAUUAAACUUCUUUAUGAACUUCCAUAGCAAACUUUGCCAGUAGGAUGUGUGAUUGGGGAUGGCCAAGUAGAUUUCCCCCAUGAUGUGACAAAGGAAGCGAAAAAGAAAUGAAGGUUACCAGAAAACAACAAUAACGGCCCCAGAAGGGAGUAGCUUUGUUCUUGGUCUCAUUUACCUUUCUGUCUACCAGGCUUUACCCAAACAGGGUUAUGCAGAUGAUUCUUUCAUGUAAGCAACAGAAAGCAAGAGGUCAAGGAGAGGUGUGAGCUGCCCAGGUGCCAAUGACCAAAUGGACAAGCCUGGCUUGGAGAGAAAUCAAAGUCACAAUAUGAGAGGAAUUACAUCUUGCUCCCAUCUCAGUGAGAAACAGUUUCAUGCAGAGGCUGCUGCUCAGUAGGAAUUCCUGGGGUCUGAAAUUGACUUAACUUUUGUCUGCCUCUCCAUAAAACACCUAGCACCCAGGACCACUAAAAUCUACCACAAAUGGGAAAGUACCCUCAUUUUCUGUAUACCGUCGGCAGCUUCAGUCUUACGCAGAUAUGGAUUUUGUCAAGCUAUCCUUUCAAGCUAUGCUUCAGGUUAUCUUCUUCAUUUCUAUUAUAAUCUUGAUACUGAGCACAAUAGCUCCAUGGAAUAAUUCUGUUAUUUUAUGCCUUUAUGCCCCCACGAAUCCUCUUAUCUCCCCCCACCCCAAAGACUAUCGCUGUAGCAUAACAGGGAAUGGUCAUCUCAUGGGAUUAUGAUGCUCUACAUGCUCACCAGCGGUUGGCCACGUUACAUCAUUGAUGUUACAAGCACCACGACCCAUGUGUCUGUAAUGGCACUCAUGUGAAGGAUGACGUCACUGUGGAGUCAAGAUAGAAUGACCCUGACCCCUCUCUUAGUUUACUGUGAUACCAUCAUGAUUUCAUGUGGCAUAUGGAAAAUCGAAAAGUAGAGAAAGGAUAUUUGUAAUUGGCUGAAUUCUUAACUUUGACCUUAAGGAAGAUUCAAGUACCCUCCUCUACAUCAUCCCUCUACAUGAGAAUAAAACUUACCUCCUCUCUAAGCCCAUAUUCUUUCCUGAAACCAGGUUCCUGAAGCAGCCUCUGGGAAUGACUACACUGUAUAAUUGACUAUAUAGAGGAUUUCCCACACCCAUCUAAGGACCUUUCCAUCUUCCUACUUCCUGUCCUGUCUUCCCUCUGGGGACAGGAUGAUCUAACGAAGUUAAAAAAAAUCCACAUCGAGUCUCCUUUCUUCCUACAGACAUGAAGUCUUGAUAUUUUCCCUGCUCCUGACCCUGGAAGAAGAAAAAUUUGUGAAUCUCCCAAGGCACAUAUUGCUAUUCCUGUCCCCAGUGAGGAUAGACCUCUCUACCCUGCUCAUAGUGUCGUCAAGAAGAGAUGUGGGCACAUAUGGGUGCCGACAGGGCAAAUGUGGUGUCACCAGCUUGACUCUGCAUGGAAUGCUGGUCAUCCGCGGUCUACCUAGGAGACAGGAGCAGGACCUGGGUUCUGCUUAGGGCCAAGCCGGACCCAGUGCCAAGCCCAGGCUGAUGGGCACGGACACUUCUCACAGACCAAGAAGAUUGGUGAGGUGGGGAGGCGUGGGCACAGAUUACUUUUCCCUGGCAUUUUCACCACAGUGGCCUCCAGUCACAUACACUUUUCCCCAGACGCCCUGAAGCAAAAGCCAUACAAAACAAUUCCCCCAAUGGAAAAUGAAAACCCAUAACAAAACACUUUUCCCCUCUUCAUUCCCAUCCCCACCCCACUCCCUCCAGCCCGACACCCUGAAUACUCACAAGAGAACACUUUAUCUAUACAAAAUUAAUUAGAAAACAAAAUAUUUACAUAUGAAAUAAACACCAUCUUGAUUUCCAUCACCAGUGGAGACCGACAGAGCCCCCUUUGUUCUAGAUUGCUGUUCGCUAGGUUAGUUGGUUUGGUUUUUUAUUUGAAAGGGGUGAGGUAAGAGGAAGAGUGAGGGGAGGAUCCCCUGACCUCAGACAGAGUCAGGGUGAAGCGAUGUUUAUAUGGCCCUUCUCCUUCUUCCUCCUGGAGACGCCUCACGCCCUCUGUCCUCUCUCUCAAAGUCUCUCCUUGAAUCUAAGGUAAAGCACUCCGUGCUCCUCUCUCCAAAUCUGUGAGAGGUUCAGCCCCUUGCCCCCAGGUUCGUUUUAGAAAGAAAACAUAGCUUUACAAGGCCUUCAGUUGGCUUUAAAAUGAAAGAUACUGAGGUAAAAAUCCAGGAGGAGGACAGGGGACAGCAGUCAAGGGCAGGGAAGGAGGAAGGGUGGUGAG